rnacentral:lncRNA from 1 species
CAGAAAAAGACAGUGAGAAGACAUUCUUUCCUAUGUUAGCUGAGGAUAAGGAUGAAGCCACUCUCACCAGCAGAGCAGAUGGGGGAGGUGACGCAUCUACUGCUGCAGCUCAGCCCCCCCCAUGUUUGUUACAGCUGGCAGAGGUGAGACAUCCACCUCACCAUCCCACCCAGAGAAAGAAAAAGUUUGGAUGCCUCACUCUUGGUGCUCCAGCUCUGAUGCAAGCGCUCGGGUGCCGAGUUUGCCAAAGCUGGCACGAGCACCCCG